rnacentral:rRNA from 1 species
AUUGAACGCUGGCGGCAGGCCUAACACAUGCAAGUCGAGCGGUAGAGAGGUGCUUGCAUCUCUUGAGAGCGGCGGACGGGUGAGUAAUGCCUAGGAAUCUGCCUGGUGGUGGGGGAUAACGUUCGGAAACGGACGCUAAUACCGCAUACGUCCUACGGGAGAAAGCGGGGGAUCUUCGGACCUCGCGCCAUUAGAUGAGCCUAGGUCGGAUUAGCUAGUUGGUGAGGUAAUGGCUCACCAAGGCGACGAUCCGUAACUGGUCUGAGAGGAUGAUCAGUCACACUGGAACUGAGACACGGUCCAGACUCCUACGGGAGGCAGCAGUGGGGAAUAUUGGACAAUGGGCGAAAGCCUGAUCCAGCCAUGCCGCGUGUGUGAAGAAGGUCUUCGGAUUGUAAAGCACUUUAAGUUGGGAGGAAGGGUCGUAACCUAAUACGUUGCGGCUUUGACGUUACCGACAGAAUAAGCACCGGCUAACUUCGUGCCAGCCGCCGCCGCAGUAA